GUUCGGAAUUACUGGGCGUAAAGGGCGCGUAGGCGGCCUUCUAAGUCGGACGUGAAAUCCCUCGGCUUAACCGAGGAACUGCGUCCGAUACUGAAAGGCUUGAAUCCGGGAGAGGGAUGUGGAAUUCCAGGUGUAGCGGUGAAAUGUGUAGAGAUCGGGAGGAACACCGGUGGCGAAGGCGGGUCUCUGGGCAUCUCCUGACGCUGAGGCGCGAAAGCGUGGGGAGCAAACGGG
rnacentral:rRNA from 1 species